UCUGAACAUUUGAUAUGGAACGUUCCUGCUC
rnacentral:piRNA from 1 species